rnacentral:rRNA from 1 species
GGCAGCACGGGGGCAACCCUGGUGGCGAGUGGCGAACGGGUGAGUAAUACAUCGGAACGUGCCCAGUAGUGGGGGAUAGCCCGGCGAAAGCCGGAUUAAUACCGCAUACGACCUAUGGGUGAAAGCGGGGGAUCGCAAGACCUCGCGCUACCGGAGCGGCCGAUGUCAGAUUAGGUUGUUGGUGGGGUAAGAGCCUACCAAGCCGACGAUCUGUAGCUGGUCUGAGAGGACGACCAGCCACACUGGGACUGAGACACGGCCCAGACUCCUACGGGAGGCAGCAGUGGGGAAUUUUGGACAAUGGGCGCAAGCCUGAUCCAGCCAUGCCGCGUGCGGGAAGAAGGCCUUCGGGUUGUAAACCGCUUUUGUCGGGGAAGAAACGCUCCGAGCUAAUACCUCGGAGUAAUGACGGUACCCGAAGAAUAAGCACCGGCUAACUACGUGCCAGCAGCCGCGGUAAUACGUAGGGUGCAAGCGUUAAUCGGAAUUACUGGGCGUAAAGCGUGCGCAGGCGGUCGUGCAAGACAGAUGUGAAAUCCCCGGGCUUAACCUGGGAACUGCAUUUGUGACUGCACGGCUGGAGUGCGGCAGAGGGGGAUGGAAUUCCGCGUGUAGCAGUGAAAUGCGUAGAUAUGCGGAGGAACACCGAUGGCGAAGGCAAUCCCCUGGGCCUGCACUGACGCUC